GGGGAAUUUUCCGCAAUGGGCGAGAUCCUGACGGAGCAACGCCGCGUGAGGGAGGAAGGCCUGUGGGUUGUAAACCUCUUUUCUCAAGGAAGAAGUUCUGACGGUACUUGAGGAAUCAGCAUCGGCUAACUCCGUGCCAGCAGCCGCGGUAAGACGGAGGAUGCAAGCGUUAUCCGGAAUUAUUGGGCGUAAAGCGUCCGUAGGCGGUUUCAAAAGUCUGUUGUUAAAUCCCACAGCUCAACUGUGGAUCGGCAAUGGAAACUGUGAGACUAGAGAGUGGUAGGGGUAGAGGGAAUUCCUAGUGUAGCGGUGAAAUGCGUAGAUAUUAGGAAGAACACCAGUGGCGAAGGCGCUCUACUGGGCCAUUACUGACGCUGAUGGACGAAAGCUAGGGGAGCGAAAGGGAUUAGAUACCCCUGUAGUCCUAGCUGUAAACGAUGGAUACUAGGUGUUGGCCGUAUCGACCCGGUCAGUAUCGAAGCAAACGCGUUAAGUAUCCC
rnacentral:rRNA from 1 species